UGGGAAUCCUUGUUGUAAAAAUACAUUUCA
rnacentral:piRNA from 1 species